AUGUGAGGGAUAGGGGAACGGGGGAAACUUUUUUUGUCAAGUCCUUACCUUCCCGGAAAGGUGAUCAAAUUUCGGAUCACAUUCUCCGGGCUCUGCGGCCUACCAUCGCUGGAGCUGUGAGCCGCCUCGGACUGUCGUGAGCCCCA